GGGCCAUUAGCUCAUCCGGUAGAGCGCAUCCAUGGCAUGGAUGAGGCGAGCGGUUCGAGUCCGCUAUGGUCCACCA
rnacentral:tRNA from 2 species